CUUUCCCCCAAAUAAGGCAGCAGCCUCAUCCUCCCUCAGCCUAGCAACACACACACACUCAAGAGCUGCAGUAGUAGCCUCCAACCCCUUUCUUCCCCCCAAAAUGCAAACACACACAUACAAAUCAGGGGGAGGACGUCUGAGAGCGCUGAGGGAAAGAGAGGGAGCUUCACUGAGCCGUCGUGUUGCCGUUGUAGGAGAGGAAGUUGCGACCCAUUACCACGUGAUGGAGGAGAGAACGCGCGCGCAGGGGGAGGAAGGCGCCAGCCCCGUCGCGCCGCCUCUGUUGUCUGUGCUACCGUCGUCGUCCAAGCUCGUCACCGCCAGUUGCGUCGUCGCCGCCUCUGCCCAACGCCACCGCAGAUGAUGGGUCAUCGAGAACUGCCACCGUUGCUGCCGUCUUUGUGGGGCUUGAUUGUCGUGGUCGCUCCUCACUGCGAAGCCUGUUGCGAGCGCCGCUAUCAGCAUCGUGCUCCCUGGUUCUGUCGAGGAGCCUCUGUGACUGCCUCCCUCUCUGUCGCCGAGGUCCUCCGCCGCUGGGUACAGAGAAGAGCAGCGCCGCGUGAAUCAAGGAAAGGAGAUGCCUUUCUGCUUCUGCUCCUGGGUUUUGGAAUCCGACUAAAUGCCGCUGCCGCUGUUGGAGUUUAUGUUGCUCUGGCCUUGCCCUGGCUCCAUCUUGAACCGUGAGAAUCGCUACUACUGGUAAGUGACGUUGUCGCUGCCUUUACUAGAGAUAGUUGAUGGCUCAAUUUGGAGAUUUCUGUUGCAACUAAUGUUCGUUUUGGGGACAGCUUCAUCUGCUGCUGGAACCACUAACAUAACAGACUGAGUCACGGUGAUUCUGGCUGCCAAGGGCGAUUCUGUGACUGUCAGAACCACCGUUGAGGCUUCUGUUCUUUGGUUCAGACGUUAUUCUUUAGUUACAGAUUAAGUUAUCGGAGCCAUAUGUUGUGCGCACGGGUUGUCCUUGCUGCUGCGAGGGUAAACAAAGCUGUGAUGUAAGCUGCCGAUAAAUUCAGGUUGAUUGAGAGUUUCGGUGACGCGUUUGGAUUAUGAAUUUGUGUUUUGAGGAUAUGGACGCAGAAGUUACGAAGAGUUUAUUUAGUUAUUGUUGUGAUGCUCUGUAUUAUUUUAGUUAUGGUUUAUUGUACCCUCGUCUUUAUCUUGAGAUAAUUUGUAAGAGGGAUAGGAAUUGUAUUAGUUAAUGUUUGUAAUAUUAUAUAUACAUAUGUAUGUAUAUAUAUGGAUGUACUCUUUAUGAGUUUUUGUAAGUUCUAUGAUAUCUAUGGAUGUACGUUAUCGAAUGGAGUAUCUUAGGAAUGAUAUUGUGGUAGAAAGUUUUAAACAGGCUCAUAUUUUAGUAUUAAAUAGUAUAAGUGUCGUCGUAAUGUCCGAGCUAUCAGAAUUGCGCAGCCGGAAGCGUGAGUUUUGGUAGUUAGGGUGUUACACGGUAGCGACCGUCAAAGACUGCACAAAGAAGAGGUUGCGCGGCGCUGAAGGUGGAGCAUUUUGGAUGUGGUUGUACAGUAGAGAGGUGGUCAAUUUAGGUUUACAAUGGUAAAUGAGGGACACUAGAAUUGACCUAGGUUAAUUUGGGAUGUGAUUUUUUAAAUUUUAUUGGGCUUUGGGGUCCAACUCAACAAAAGUUGGCAGAAAUUGACAGAAACUAUGUUGGUAACAUCGCGGGAUUGUAACUUCUAUUAGGCAUCUUACACACUUAUUUAUGUGCUGCUACCAUUGCUUC